rnacentral:rRNA from 1 species
UACACACCGCCCGUCACACCAUGGGAGCGGGUUCUGCCAGAAGUAGUUAGCCUAACCGCAAGGAGGGCGAUUACCACAGCAGGGUUCGUGACUGGGGUG